UUACGCCUACGGAACGCAGCAGUGGGGAAUAUUGCACAAUGGGGGAAACCCUGAUGCAGCGACGCCGCGUGAAGGAAGAAGUAUUUCGGUAUGUAAACUUCUAUCAGCAGGGAAGAAAAUGACGGUACCUGACUAAGAAGCCCCGGCUAACUACGUGCCAGCAGCCGCGGUAAUACGUAGGGGGCAAGCGUUAUCCGGAUUUACUGGGUGUAAAGGGAGCGUAGGCGGUUCAGCAAGUCAGAAGUGAAAGCCCGGGGCUCAACUCCGGGACUGCUUUUGAACCUGUUGAACUAGCUUGCCGGAGG
rnacentral:rRNA from 1 species